rnacentral:tmRNA from 1 species
GGGGCUGACUUGGAUUUCGACAGAUUUCUUGUCGCACAGAUAGCAUGCCAAGUGCUACUUGUAAAACAGCAACAAAAAUAACUGUAAACAACGCAGAUUACGCUCCAGCUUACGCUAAAGCUGCGUGAGUUAAUCUCCUUUUGGAGCUGGACUGAUUAGAAUUUCUAGCGUUUUAAUCACUCCAUAACCUUAAGCUAGACGCUUUUAAAAGGUGGUUCGCCUUUUAAACUAAGAAACAAGAACUCUUGAAACUACCUCAAGGUUUUAGAAAGUUGGACCAGAGCUAGUUUUAAGGCUAAAAAGCUAAUCAAUUUUCUAAGCAUUGUAGAAGUUUGUGUUUAGGACAAGAUUUUUGGACUGGGGUUCGAUUCCCCACAGCUCCACCA